rnacentral:rRNA from 1 species
GAACGAACGUUGGCGGUGUGGAUUAGGCAUGCAAGUCGCGCGCGAAAGCCGUUCGGGUGAGUAAAGCGGCGAACGGGUGAGUAAUACGUAACCAACCUGCCCCCUCAGAUCGGAAUAACCACUGGAAACGGUGGGUAAUGCCCGGAUGGUCCCCUCGGACGGCAUCGUCCUUUGGGUAAACGGCGGCUCUGCCGCUGCUGAGGGAGGGGUUGCGGCCUAUCAGCUUGUUGGUGGGGUUAACGGCCUACCAAGGCGAUGACGGGUAGCCGGUCUGAGAGGACGAUCGGCCACACUGGGACUGAGACACUGCCCCA